GCGGGAAGUCGGGCGGAGUCUAAAGGCCAGGGCGCUGCCGCCCCGGAGUAGGAAAGGGCCGAGAGUAAGGCCAGAAAGUCUCAGCCCUGUGGACCCUGGAUGGUAUGGGAAAAGGAACAAAAAGACGGGCAUGAGGCAUCAGUGACUCAGCAGUCUCCUGGGUUUCUUACUUUUCCACAGGGACUAUCAGAGCCUGAGUCUCCACCCAUAGCAAAUGGCAUCUGUACUGGAAGCCUCUGCAUAUUAGUGCAGGGCGGGGAUGGAUAGAUGAAUGAAGGCAACGCUGAUAUGACAAGAUAUAGAAGAGCAGAAGGCAAGAAGGGGAUGCAGCUCAGUGACUUCUGGUAGGCGACUUUUGGCUUCAAAACCCUGAAAACUGUGUCCUAGACCACCCCGACACUACCAUUUUCUGAACAUCUUCCCAUAAAGAAUAAUGAAUAUUGAACACCAGGAUACCAAAAAAGCUCAUCUAAUCUACUCAAGUAUCACUGUGUACUCUGUUUCAAGAUGCAAAUGAAGUGGGGAUUUUCCUAUGCUGGACAGAGUGUACAGUUACCUGGCCAUGAGGUCUUGGGUCAUUGCUGAAGGGAGAUUCAUGAGGAUGCCAGAAUUAUCCUACUGAAUAGACCAUGAGCUACUUGGAGACAGAAUUGGAGAAGAUACAGUCUCUGGUCUCAGUAUGGAUGUGUAAGCAGGUGAAAUACGUUAUGACAUUUCCCUGUCUAAUUCUUCGCUGGAGUACACAAGAAUCUGCAUACUUUGGCCUGUGGCUUGGGACUUCAGAUCCACGUCUUUAAGACCUGGUGAGCCAGCCAGAAGAAAGAGCUGAAGGUGCCCCAUGGCCAGAUCCAAGUGUAUGCCUGGACUCUCUUCUGCUUCUCCAUAUUGGGAUAUAAGUCCAGCAAAAGAAGUAACCAUUGGCCAAGGACAGAUGCCGAGACCAUCAUUAAAAUUGAGAAGCAGCGCUGGAGAGAUGAUUCAGCAGUUAAGAGCACUUGCUGUUCUUACAAAGGGCCUGUCUGGAUUUCAUUCCCGGUGCCCACAUGGAAGCUCACAGUUGUCUGUAAUUCCAGUUCCAAGGAAUCUGUCACACUCUUCUGACUUCCUUGGGCACAAGCAUACACGAGAUGUAUACUCAUAUGUAGGCAAAAUAUUCAUACACAUAUGACAAAAUAAAUCUAAAAUAUUGACAUAGAUUUAGAGUUUUAGUAUUUUAAUCAAAUAUUCAUUUAGAUGAGUUUAUCAUACACCUUCAAGGUGCAUCAGUUGCAAGGUACUUAAGUUUCAAAUUGUAGCAUCACUCCAAAUAAAGCUGAGAUUAUGCCACUCCAAACUCAAAUUUAAGUGAACAACUGUAUGCAUUUCAACAUGUUGGCUAAACAUGCCCUGUGAAAAGUGAAAAUAUGUAGCCCAGUUUUUCGAUCUGGAACCAGAAUUUGAAAACCAAUUUCAAGAUUUCCAGGAAAAGUAAUUAAUAUUUUAAUAUAUUUGCAACUCCAUUUUAAGCUCACAGAAAUAUGCCAAAUACCAAUUUUCAAGCAGAAUGCACAGAGAUGCAAUCUGACAUUUAACCUAAGGAUAAACUUGGUUAGGUCUCUUUACUCAGCUUGCCUGGAUCCUGUCUCUUCAGACACAAUUAUCCCGCCAUUCCCAGUCACAGUCUGUUCACGUCAUCACUGGUUGGCAGCUCUUUCAUUUGUGAGCAAGUAUGGAACCAGGUUAUCCUUGAACUCAGUGGUAGGCCUUGCUCUGCAGGGAUUAAAGGCGAGUGCCACCGUGGCCCAGCUGGGCAAGUAUGUUUGAGAAUGAGGCACAUGUAGUAAAAUUAGAACCCAGACACUUGACAAGCACCUGCCAGCAUGCUCAGAAUCACGAUUAUUCUUCCAUGGAAGCAGCUAUUGACACAUUAGAUCCCAAGAGAGAUACCAGAUUGUGGCCAUCUUUGUUUUACUUAAUUAAAAAUAGUUUUGAAAAAUGAA
rnacentral:sRNA from 1 species